CUUGGUCAUUUAGAGGAAGUAAAAGUCGUAACAAGGUCUCCGUAGGUGAACCUGCGGAGGGAUCAUUGAAGAGUUAGGGCCCCCGGCCCGACCUCCAACCCUUUGUACUUGAUACCAUGUUGCCUCGGGGGCGACCCUGCCGUCCGCGGUUUGGGGCCUCCGGCGGACCACUCAACUCUGCAUCUUUGCGUCUGAGUAACUUUGUAAAUUAAACAAAACUUUCAACAACGGAUCUCUUGGUUCUGGCAUCGAUGAAGAACGCAGCGAAAUGCGAUAAGUAAUGUGAAUUGCAGAAUUCAGUGAAUCAUCGAAUCUUUGAACGCACAUUGCGCCCUCUGGUAUUCCGGGGGGCAUGCCUGUUCGAGCGUCAUUACACCACUCAAGCCUCGCUUGGUAUUGGGCGCCGCGCCUGCCGCGCGCCUUAAUGUCUCCGGCUGAGCUCAUCGUCUCUUAGCGUUGUGGCAAACAAUGUUCGCUUGUGAGACUGACGGGUUCGCGCCGUUAAACAUCUUCUAAAGGUUGACCUCGGAUCAGGUAGGGAUACCCGCUGAACUUAAGCAUAUCAAUAAGCGGAGGA
rnacentral:rRNA from 1 species